UUAUGAACCAAAUGCUAAAACAUCAACGCCUCUAAUUAAUUACUAAAAUAAAAAUAUCAGAUAGUGCAACCAACACAAUCAAACUCCGAUUUUUAAUGCUUAUUAUGAUUGCAAAUCUGAAUAUCAUUUUUACUAAUUUAUUUAUUACCCAGGAAGCAAGAUUUUAUGAUGACACGUGGCAGAAUAUCGGGUGUGCAGUGAAGGCUUUAUACGUAUUUCGUGUAAUUAGCAAGAAAACCGACACGAAUCGAAAGCAGCAUCUGUCACGGAAGGUGUAAUCCAAUUCCAGACCAGACAUCUCCGCCGUGAAACGAUAACUCGUUUCAAGAAUCAUAUGGUGCCGCCAUGUCAUUCUGGUGAUUUCUUGAUCGCCCAAGCAUCGUUGGUUCGGUCGUCCAUUGAUGUCUGAUAAAGAUCGGACGGACGGCGGAGGAAGCGAUGAAGAGGACAGAGAAGGGAGGGAGGGCAAGUGUAAGGGUUGUGGGAGAAAAAAGGGCAAAAGAUUGCCCUUCUUUCGGCUGAGGAAGAGCAAGAAACUGCUUCACCAGAAACGGACGCAGAGUGGCAUUUGUGUAAGUUCACGGGGUUGGGGCAGAAGGGCCAACGGCGGCGGUGGUGGAUGGUGUUGCUUGUGCCUGCGCCAGCCCAAGACUCUCGAUUCUUCCGGUGAGUCGCCUACCAGUGAUCCUAACAGUUCGGAGUUUACUUUUGAUGAGUUGAGAGCUCUUAUUGAGAAAAAUGACUUUUAUUCCAAAGACUGUAAUCCGCAUUUUGAUGCUCAUGAUAUGUCAAAGCAGUUAACUGGGAAACCCCAAUGAUCAAAAUUGCUUCUUUAGCUGCGUUACGAAAUUGUUUCAGAUAUUGUCUCAAUCUUUCCCGGUGGAUGUUGUGAGGGUUAGUGGGUGUUUAUUGCGUUAGAAACGCCCUGUUUUGUUAUCAAUUAUUUCUUCACUCAAUAUUUUUAGUGAAAUAUUAUUCGAUGUCGAUUGUGUACAUUGGUGUGAUGCCUUUGGCUUAAUUCGGAUACUCUUUAUAUAAUGUGUAUUGGAUUCUUUGUUUGGUUUGGUUGCAAAAGACAUCAGGAAUGAUGCAAGAGAAAUGUAUAUGAUGUUGAGUUCUUCAAUCGUGGAUUGAACCAAUUUCAAAGGGAUGUCUUGGAUUGUUUCAAGGAUUGAUUCCACCAUUAUUCUAUGAUUGAAUUAUGCAUGUUUAAACUCUUUAUGAGUCAUCUAUAGCGCGUCCAAAAUGUGUGCAUUUCAUUGUCUUUUAUGAGUUUUUCAUUGCCUCUGGCCUUUUGAAUUCCCACUGAAACUGAAUAAUAAGAUAUUUAGUGGUGCUCAUAAUUCAUGUGUGGGCAUUUGUUAUUCCAUAUGACAACAGAAAGCUUAUUAAAUACUAUGGCCAAAGAUUUCAAAUUUUCUGAUUCUGAUUUGAAAGUCAUGUGCACACGUUUCGGACUUCAUGGAAGCUUGAUACUCUAGAACUUUUAGGCGUGCGUGGACUGUUCUGCUUCGAUUUAUCCGAUUCAUUUUCAAUGAGUAGUGUUUGAGUCAUAUCCUCUUUUUCAUUGGCUAUCAUAAGAGAUCACAUAGUUCUGCAUCUCUCAAAUAAUCUAGUUUCGAACUCUGACUUUUGGGUAAAUUGGCUUAAAUUUCCAUCUAUAUUUUAGUGGUUUAUGUUUCUUCAAGGGCAUAAAGUUGGGUAGGUAGCUAUUGCAUGAGAAAUUCAAACUUAGUAUCUUGAUUCUCUGUCGAUUUUCACCUUCAUCUACAUGUUUGCAGUACUUAAGUUGUUAUAGAUUGAUAAACAUGAAGCUGCUGAAACUAUCAGAUGAAUGCAACCGGUGUAUGUCAUACUUAAGAAGGUGAAGUAGGGGGGUACAAGUGUUGUAACAAGAAGAGUAAUUAGUAACAAAAGUUUUUAUUUUUUCUUUUAGCUAUUUACUCUUAGGGUGUGUUCUCUUUGGUUGUAAAUUUAUCAUUAGAAAAUGAGGGAUAAAUAAAAAAUUCUCUCUUUAAAACCUUCUUUUGUUCCCUCAUUUUCUACAAAAGAGAAUUUCACCUUUACUCAUUCCUCCUUUUCACUCCAAAGGAGGGAUAAUAUUAUCCCUUUAUUUUAAAGGGAUAAUAUUAUCCCUCCUUUGGAGUGAAAAGGAGGAAUGAGUAAGGGUGAAAUUCUAUUUUGUAAGAAAUGAGGGAAAAAGAAAGGUGGGAUGUAGAAGGUGGUGUUUUUUUUUCAUCCCUCAUUUCAUCAUGAUAUAUUUACAACCAAAGAGAACACACCCUUAGACUAACGUGGCUUAUGGUUGUUACCUUCUGUCAUCUUGUUUAGCCAGCUGCUUUAAACUUUCUCCUCUUGGUUAUACUGCUUGUCUUUUUAUAUAGAUGAAAGGACUAUGGUAUGACUUUUCUCUGAUGUGAUAAAUUCAUGGCUGUAAUGCUUUGACUGCCAAGUUUAAAGACCAUGAAUGCAUCACAUGGUUUCUUAUUGGUGUCUCUCCCUGGUGAAGAGGAGUCAAAAAAAGGAGAGUCCUUGCUUGGAAAUCUACCUCCUCAAUAACAUAUUUUUUGGGUUAUUUUAUGGCUCUCUAUCAGGGAAGAUAACGGAGAUAUCUAUUGAGUCACCCUUCUCAUGGAAAUUAUUUUAUAGAGCUUCAAGUUUGAUAUGGUUCCGAAGCUCCAUCAGUGCAUCAUAGUAUGUCAACAUGUCAUGUAGGAAGGUGUUGCGCCAAGAGCCUGACAAAAUGUGAGAAUCGGAAGAAUUUUUACUCAAGUUUGAGUGAAUUUUCUCUAGAAUCCAGUUUAUUGGCUCAAUCUUUCCACUAAAGUUUUUGAACAGAAGCGAGCAGCAAAGUAUGUGAUCUCUCAUUAGGGUACAUUCUCUACUUCUCUUUGAUGGAAAAGGGUCACCUUUUUUUCACUCUCUUCUUUUCACAUAUUCUGUAGGGUGAAUAAUUUCCCCCGGGGAGAAUGGUAAAUUUUUCCGGGCAGCCCAUUUUUACUCGUUUUCAGUCUAAUUUGUGAUAAUAUUUUCCCAUGUUUUAGAUAAAUGUGGUAUAUGAUAAAUUUGCAAGCAACCCGAGCUCUUUCUUUAUCCUAUAAUCUAAAUCCAAACUGUUCAUUAUAUCUAA